CGGCGUGCUAUACAUGCAGUCGAGCGAACAGAGAAGGAGCUUGCUCCUUUGACGUUAGCGGCGGACGGGUGAGUAACACGUGGGCAACCUACCUUAUAGUUUGGGAUAACUCCGGGAAACCGGGGCUAAUACCGAAUAAUCUGUUUCACCUCAUGGUGAAACACUGAAAGACGGUUUCGGCUGUCGCUAUAGGAUGGGCCCGCGGCGCAUUAGCUAGUUGGUGAGGUAACGGCUCACCAAGGCGACGAUGCGUAGCCGACCUGAGAGGGUGAUCGGCCACACUGGGACUGAGACACGGCCCAGACUCCUACGGGAGGCAGCAGUAGGGAAUCUUCCACAAUGGGCGAAAGCCUGAUGGAGCAACGCCGCGUGAGUGAAGAAGGAUUUCGGUUCGUAAAACUCUGUUGUAAGGGAAGAACAAGUACAGUAGUAACUGGCUGUACCUUGACGGUACCUUAUUAGAAAGCCACGGCUAACUACGUGCCAGCAGCCGCGGUAAUACGUAGGUGGCAAGCGUUGUCCGGAAUUAUUGGGCGUAAAGCGCGCGCAGGUGGUUUCUUAAGUCUGAUGUGAAAGCCCACGGCUCAACCGUGGAGGGUCAUUGGAAACUGGGAGACUUGAGUGCAGAAGAGGAUAGUGGAAUUCCAAGUGUAGCGGUGAAAUGCGUAGAGAUUUGGAGGAACACCAGUGGCGAAGGCGACUAUCUGGUCUGUAACUGACACUGAGGGCGCGAAAGCGUGGGGAGCAAACAGG
rnacentral:rRNA from 1 species